rnacentral:rRNA from 1 species
AUGAACGCUGGCGGCGUGCCUAAUCCAUGCAAGUCGCGCGAACAGACGAGGAGCUUGCUCCUCUGACGUUAGCGGCGGACGGGUGAGUAACACGUGGAUAACCUACCUAUAAGACUGGGAUAACUUCGGGAAACCGGAGCUAAUACCGGAUAAUAUAUUGAACCGCAUGGUUCAAUAGUGAAAGACGGUUUUGCUGUCACUUAUAGAUGGAUCCGCGCCGCAUUAGCUAGUUGGUAAGGCAACGGCUUACCAAGGCGACGAUGCGUAGCCGACCUGAGAGGGUGAUCGGCCACACUGGAACUGAGACACGGUCCAGACUCCUACGGGAGGCAGCAGUAGGGAAUCUUCCGCAAUGGGCGAAAGCCUGACGGAGCAACGCCGCGUGAGUGAUGAAGGUCUUCGGAUCGUAAAACUCUGUUAUUAGGGAAGAACAAAUGUGUAAGUAACUAUGCACGUCUUGACGGUACCUAAUCAGAAAGCCACGGCUAACUACGUG